rnacentral:tRNA from 1 species
GGCCUUAUAGUGCAGUGGUCAAGCACAUCUGGUUCUCAGCCAGAAGACUCGGGUUCGAAUCCCGAUAAGGCUA